GUCAAAGUGCCUUCAAAAGAACAGAAAUUAUGUAAAAUGAAAUAACACCUGAUAUUUGAUGUCACCAGGCGUUAAUUUAUAUUAAACUACCGGUUUAAAUCGAUGAUGAUUGGUGAACAGUAGAAAAUGGCGAAUAUGACAGGCCUGAUUGUUAAUUAGUAUGGAAGGUAUUGAGAUUGUAAAAUCAUUGUCUAUCGGGGCAUGUUACUACUACUACUAGGAACGGUUUGACCAGAGGAGAAGUCUAUUACUGAUCCAUUGAUGUCAUUAAAAUAGAUACAGCGAAUAGAUGAAUGUAUUUAAUUCUGUAUCCGUGAUAUCUUCGUGAACCAACAGACACAAGAGGUGGUGAACUCACGUUAACAUGGGUUGUGGAAGCAGCCAAUCUGCUAGUAUUAACAGGAAUAAUUACACGAACACGUAUACAGACCCUGAUACUAUGACCAGUACUUUAACCUAUGACCGUGGUGAACCCGAGGGGAAGGAAUCAAGAGAUAGCGAUGCACCAGACGUUUUUGAGAAUCAAGAUACUACAAUGUGUAUAAACUAUGAUGCAUCCGUUACUAGAGACUCUUAUAGUGCGGAGAGUGUGGACGAAAGUUUUAAUACAUUCACUGUAACAUCGGCAUCGAAAAACAAACAGUGAUAAAAAGAGUGGAAUGUAGAAAACAACAACAGUAGAAAGAGUGAAAUAUGGAAAACAACAACAAAGAAAAGAGUGAAAUGGGAAAACAACAACAAUAAAAAGAGUGCAACUUAUUGAAAAACAACAAUAAUGAGGGUGAAAUAUGGUAAACAUCCGGGAAAACCAAAAAGAGUGAAAUAUAGUAAACAACUGGAAAAAAAACAACAAAAAGAGUGAAAUCUGGAAAACAAUUGGAAUUAAAGUUAGUGAACCAUAACAAUAAUAAAAGGUGUAAAAUGUGGAAUAAAACAACAAAACAGUGAAAUAUGAACAACAUGUGCUCAACUAGAAUCAAAAUGUUUCGUUACGACAAAGAGUUAAACUGGGGGGGGGGGGAGGGGAUACUCAAUUGAAUUCUCUCAAUCCCCAAAAUAAUGACAACCAACCAUGACAGCUGAAACAUAUUCAUUGCGUUUAAUUACGUCACGAUUCUACUUACACCACCCCCGUUAUCGGACUGACAGAACUGUGAGUGUGACAGAACGGAAUUCAACUUCAUUCGAUUGCAAUUCCGUCAAUUUGGAACAUUCCGGACUGACAAUGGAGCAUCCCCUAUGAUCCUGCUUCUUUAUUAUUACGAUCGGUCUUUUCUUCUAUUAACUGGACUUCACGUUGUGUAUA